CCUAGUGGCAAUAGCGAAGAGGUCACACCUGUUCCCAUGCCGAACACAGCAGUUAAGCUCUUCAGCGCCGAUGGUAGUUGGGGCAUUGCCCCUGUGAGAGUAGGACGUCGCUAGGC
rnacentral:rRNA from 1 species